rnacentral:rRNA from 1 species
GAUGAACGCUGGCGGCGUGCUUAACACAUGCAAGUCGAACGGAAAGGCCCAAGCUUGCUUGGGUACUCGAGUGGCGAACGGGUGAGUAACACGUGGGUGAUCUGCCCUGCACUUCGGGAUAAGCCUGGGAAACUGGGUCUAAUACCGGAUAGGACCACAUUUUGGAUGGUGUGGUGGAAAGUUUUUCGGUGUGGGAUGAGCUCGCGGCCUAUCAGCUUGUUGGUGGGGUAAUGGCCUACCAAGGCGUCGACGGGUAGCCGGCCUGAGAGGGUGUACGGCCACAUUGGGACUGAGAUACGGCCCAGACUCCUACGGGAGGCAGCAGUGGGGAAUAUUGCACAAUGGGCGCAAGCCUGAUGCAGCGACGCCGCGUGGGGGAUGACGGCCUUCGGGUUGUAAACUCCUUUCGCUAGGGACGAAGCGUCUUUGUGACGGUACCUGGAGAAGAAGCACCGGCUAACUACGUG